rnacentral:rRNA from 1 species
UCGAGAAUCUUCGGCAAUGGGCGCAAGCCUGACCGAGCGACGCCGCGUGGAGGACGAAGGCCUUCGGGUUGUAAACUCCUGUCGAGGGGGAGGAAGGGGCGGCGCAGAGCCGCCCUUGACCUAGCCCUGGAGGAAGCACGGGCUAAGUUCGUGCCAGCAGCCGCGGUAAGACGAACCGUGCGAACGUUAUUCGGAAUCACUGGGCUUAAAGCGCGUGUAGGCGGCCCGGCGCGUCCGCCGCUGAAAUCCCCCGGCUCAACCGGGGAAGCGGCGCGGAUACGGCCGGGCUGGAGGGGGGUAGGGGGCGCCGGAACUCACGGUGGAGCGGUGAAAUGCGUUGAGAUCGUGAGGAACGCCCGUGGCGAAAGCGGGCGCCUGGACCUUGCCUGACGCUGAGACGCGAAAGCCAGGGGAGCGAACGGGAUUAGAUACCCCGGUAGUCC